rnacentral:pre_miRNA from 1 species
CAACACACACACUCUCAGAGAAACUCAGUUUUAAGUUGAAAAAACUCAAUAUGAUAUUUCAACUUAAAACUGAGUUUCUCUGAGAGUGUGUGUG